GGCCGCCUGGCGAAAUGGCAUCGCGUCUGACUACGAUUUGUCGAAAUCAGGAGAUUGCAGGUUCGACCCCUGCGGUGGUCA